rnacentral:rRNA from 1 species
UACGAAGGGGGGCUAGCGUUGCUCGGAAUCACUGGGCGUAAAGGGUGCGUAGGCGGGUCUUUUAAGUCAGGGGGUGAAAUCCUGGAGCUCAACUCCAGAACUGCCUUUGAUACUGAAGAUCUUGAGUUCGGGAGAGGUGAGUGGAACUGCGAGUGUAGAGGUGAAAUUCGUAGAUAUUCGCAAGAACACCAGUGGCGAAGGCGGCGACCUGGGUAGAUACUGACGCUGAGGCACGAAAGCGUGGGGAGCAAACAGG